GACCAAUUUAAAUAAAAUGCUCCGCAGGGCGCAGCUUGAUACGACCGCAGAGGUCGAACCCUGAACAGUUGGGGGAAGUAUGGACACAACAUUCAAGCUUGAUACAGCUUUGGAUUUGGAUUGUGAUUAAAUAUUUGACACAGCAUAGGUUUCUAACACAGAUUGAAUGUGGUCUAAGAACUUAAAAAUUUUAAAUUGGACAUUCACCUAUUAUGGUCCAAUAUCCAAAAUCUAAAUACAUGGUUAGAUUCAGCAUAUCAAAGAACCCCAAGAAUUCAAUUUUUGAUGAAAUCAAACAAAGUUUCAUUUCGGACCCUUUUGACCUCAAUGUGGACAAAGUUGAUAACGGGGCCCAAAAAUCAAAAAUCUAAAUACAUGGUUAGAUUCAGCAUAUCAAAGAACCCCAUAUAUUCAAUUUUUGUUGAAAUCAAACAAAGUUUAAUUUUGGACCCCGAUUUGGACCAACUUGAAAACUGGGCCCAUAAUCAAAAAUCUAAAUACAUGUUUAGAUUCAGCAUAUUAAAGAACCCUAAGAAUUCAAUUUUUGUUAAAAUCAAACUAAGUUUAAUUUUGGACCCUUUGGACCUUAAUGUAGACCAAUUUGAAAACGGAACCAAAAAUUAAGAAUCUAAAUACACGGUUAGAUUCGGCAUAUCAAAGAACCCCAUAUAUUCAAUUUUUGUUGAAAUCAAACAAAGUUUAAUUUUGGACCCCGAUUUGGACCAACUUGAAAACUGGGCCCAUAAUCAAAAAUCUAAAUACAUGUUUAGAUUCAGCAUAUCAAAGAACCCUAAGAAUUCAAUUUUUGUUAAAAUCAAACUAAGUUUAAUUUUGGACCCUUUGGACCUUAAUGUAGACCAAUUUGAAAACGGAACCAAAAUUUAAGAAUCUAAAUACACAGUUAGAUUCGGCAUAUCAAAGAACCCCAAUAAUUCAAUUUUUGAUGAAAUCAAACAAAGUUUAAUUUUGGACCCUUUGGACCUCAAUGUGGACCAAUUUAAAAACGGGGCCCAAAAUCCAAAAACUAAAUACACGGUUAUAUUCAGCAUAUUAAAGAACCCCAUGAAAUCAAGAAUAAAACCCCAUUGAAAUUGGUCAAGAAAUAAGCAAUUUAUAGGAAGUAUCUUCUUUUGCACAAUCCUGUGCUAUUAAAUAUUUCUUGCUAUUGCGCAAUACUGUACAAUUGACAAUUUCUUACUAUUGCGCAAUAUUGUGCUAUUGGAUAUUUCUUGCUAUUGCGCAAUACUGUGCAAUUGAAGAUUUCUUGCUAUUGCGCAAUACUGUGCAAUUGAAGAUUUCUUGCUAUUGUGCAAUACUGUGCAAUUGAAAAUUUCUUGCUAUUGCACAAUACUUAUUAUAUAAUAAUUUACACAUCCUGUUUGGUGUGUAUCUCCUACCAUAUCAUUAUUAUUUGAUUUUAAAUAUAAAUCAGAAAUAACCAACUUAAAAUGGAAAAUUUUAAAAGAAACAAAAAAGGAAAAAAAGAAAAAAAAGGAAAAAAAAAUAAAUCCCCCCCCCAAAAUUUUUUGAACCCCCAUUAUGAUUCAUCACCCCAAAACUCAAUCCCAGCCUUCCCUUUGUGGUAUGGUACCUUGCAGUACAAUUUCAGAGAGAUCCAUACACUUGAACACAAGUUAUUGUCUGGAAACUAGAAAAAAAUGUGUUUUUUUGGCCCCUUUUUGGCCCCAAAUUCCUAAACGUUUAGGGCAAUUACCCCCAAACUCAAACCCAGCUUUCCCUUUGUGAUAUGGAACCUUGUAGUACAAUUUCAGAAAGAUCCAUACACUUACACACAAGUUAUUGUCAUGAAACUAGAAAAAUGCUUGUUUUUGCCCCUUUUUUGGCCCCUAAUUCCUAAAAUUUGGAGGCAAUUACCCCCAAAAUCAAUCCCAGCAUUCCUUUAGUGAUAUGGAACCUUGUGGUACAAUGUCAGAGAGAUCCAUACACUAACACACAAGUUAUGUCUGGAAGUUACAAAAAUGCUUAUUUUUGGCCCCUAAUUCCUUAACUGUUAUUACCAUAACCCCCAAAAUCAAUCCCAACCUUCCUUUUGUGGUAUUGAACCUUGUGGUAAAAUUUCAUAAAGAUCCAUUCACUUAAACUAAAGUUAGAGUGCGAAAACCAAUGUGUCUUCGGACGACGCCGGACGACGCCGGACGACGACGACGACGACGACGACGACGACGAUGACGCCGGACGACGACGACGCCAACGUCAUACCAAUAUACGACCACAAAAAAUUUUUUGCGGUCGUAUAAAAAUAUAGUGUCAAAUCUUUCAUAUGGAUUUUUUUGUAAAAAAAAAGAUGCAACAUUUGCAGAUAUUUUUACUGGUCUACCUUUAUAAAUAUGCAUUUCUUUAAACAUAAUUUAAAAGCAGUGUAAGGGAAGUAACCAAAACGUUGUAUUUGGAUUACCUCCCUUACACUGUUUUAAAUUAUCUUUAUUGUUCAUUAACCAUUACUUUAUACAUAAUUUAAAAGCAGUGUAAGGGAGAUAAUUUCAAUGAUGUAUUUGAUUUAUCUCCCUUACACUGCUUUAAAUUGUUUUGUAAUAAAGUAUUUGUCCAUUAACCAGGACAACCUUGUUUUUCCCCCUUUUUUGCCCCUAAUUCCUAAACGGUUUGAGCCAUAACCCCCCAAAGCAAAUCCUAACCAUCCCUUUGUGGUAUGGAAACUUGUAGUAUAAUUUCAGAGAGAUCCAUACACCAUUCCACAGUUAUUGUCUGGAAACUAGAAAAUGCUUAUUUUUGGCCCCUAAUUCCUUAACUGUUGAUACCAUAACCCCCAAAAUCAAUCCCAACCUUCCUUUUGUGGUAUUUAUGGUCAAAUUUCAAAAAGAUCCAUUCACUUAAACUAAAGUUAGAGUGCGAAAACCAAUGUGUCUUCGGACGACGCCGGACGACGACGCCAACGUCAUACCAAUAUACGACCACAAAAUUUUUUUGCGGUCGUAUAAAAAUUACUUGAUAUUUAGAAGAAAAAAAAUUUAGCAAUUUAUUUUGUCAUUUUUCCAUUUAUAAAGGGGCAUAACUCUAGAACGGUUAAAGUGACGCUACCAAAAUUCAAUCUUGAUCUGUGUUUUGAUGUAAUAAGCAUUGUGUAUAAGUUUCAUAACAUUUGGUUGAGGCAAACUCAAGUUAGAGAACGGAAACCAAUGUUGGGACGUACGUAUGUACGUACAGACGGACAAGGGUAAAACUUAAUGCCCCCACCGCUACCGCGGGGGCAUUAAAACUCUAACAUGUAAAUGGUUCGCCAGUUAACGCCUUUAGCAUUCGUUUGCACCUGUCCCAAUUCAGGAGCCUGUUGUUCAGUGGUUUUGUUUAUUGACGUAGAUCACAAGUGUUUCUUGUUUCUCGUUUUUUUUUAUAGACAAGACAGUUGGUUUUCCUGUUUGAAUUGUUUUACGCUAGUCAUUUUGGGCCCUUUAUAGCUUGCUGUUCGGUGUGAGCCAAGGCUCUGUGUUGAACGCCUUACUUUGACCUAUAAUUGUUAACUAUUUACACAUUGUGACUUGGAUGGAGAGUUGUCUCAUUGGCACUCAUACCACAUCAUCUUAUUUCUAUGAAAACAUUUCAAAGUCAAUAGCACGAAUAAGACCAUAACUGAGGGGAUGGGGCCAAAUAUUCCCUAUGGAAAUCAGAUGUGACAAUGCUAAUACAACUGCACACUUGACAUCAUUUACUAAUUACCACAAGUGGUCCCCUUCAACUGACUUAUCACAAACUUUUAACAGGUAAACAAAACUAAAAUUUCAGUCAAGACCAAAACUGAGGGUAGAGGCCAUAUAAUCUCCAUGGAAAUGAGGUGUGCCAAUGCUAAUACAACUGCAUACCAAAUAUCAUUGAUCUACCACUUGAAGUUGCCUUUAAAAUGACUUUGUCAUUUGGUCUCUGGUGGAGAGUUUUAUACCACAUCUUCUUAUUUUUUUAAUUAAUAACAAACUAAUAUAUUGUUGUUGCUGCCAACAAGAACUGCCAAACUAUUUAAAUCAACAUCAGGGACAGCAACUUCAAAAUACAUGUAGAUCGAGAUUUUUUCUAAAAUAAAGCCUGUUGUGCUGACCAUGUUUUUCAUCAUUAGUUUUUAUAAACUUGCUUUAGUUUUUGAGGUAUUAGCCAAAGACUGCAGUUAGGUCCCAUGUUCUAUUUUAAGCUAUGCUAGUCAUGUUCGUUGAUCAACCUAAAAAAACCAUCUCAAACUUCAAAGUAAACAUCCUAUAGAUGAAGCAGACUAACUUUGAUUGCAAUCCAUAAAGCAGUUUCAGAGAAGAAAAUUUUUUAAAGAAAAUUUAUGGACAACAGACAGAUGCAAGGUGAUGGUUAAAGCUCUGAGCCUCACAUGUUUCUAUUUACCAGGUGAGCUAAAAAUAUGUAUUGGUUGCAGAUUUUAACUUGGGAUUUCUUCCAAAUAUAGUCAUUUGGUCAUCUGGUUGAGUUUAAAUCACAUAGCAUGAUCAUAGCGGUCUUAUAUAAAAAUAAGAGGAUGGUGGUCCUUUCCACUAAAGACCAAAUAAUGUAGAAAACAACUAUAGGCCACCAUGGAAAUCAGAUGUGCUAAUCUAAUCACAUUCAUAACUCAGAUCCAUAAAGCAUGUUGAAACAUGUGUAGCAGGAUCUGCUUACCCUCCCAGAGCACCUGAAAUCAGCCCCAGCUCUCUAUGGGGUUCUUGUUGCUCAGUUUUUAGUUUUUGUAUGUGCUGUUUUGUUUACUGAACAUUGUUUUUUGUCAAGACGUCAGUUUUUCAUUGACCAGAGUUUGAAUAUCCCUUGGUAUUUCCUAUUCUCUUUUGAAAUAGGUGUUUAAAACUAAAAAUGAUCAGAAUCAAAUGUUACAUUUGUAACUAGUCUUUGCUGAUAUCAGUUAUAUUGAUUCAUUUCCACCAGAUGAAGGUUUAAAUAAUUCAACAAUAACUUCAAUACAAUCUAAAUAAAUGAAAGAAAAACUGAUUAUUUGCUUAUCUGGAAAAACACAGCUUGUUGAAUUUCAUUUUCAUUUUCACUUUCAUUUUCAGUAUGCAGAUUCCAAUUAUAAGAUUUUUUUUUAAUUUUUUUUUUUUUUUUUUAUGAAGGUCAUUGACUUGCAUGACUCAUAAUUGACAUUAACAGUAAUAAAUCAAUGUCAGUGCAUGUAAACAUAUCCAAGUUACUUGUUUUUCAAUGUUUUAUAAUAUUUCUUCUCCAUUUAUUUUAACAUAAAAAAAACAUGUACUUGUGUAAAACAAUGACUAAAACUGAAAUGUUCCUGAGACCAGGCCACAUAAAUUUGAUUUCUAAAAUUUUAUCUCAUUGCACAUUAAAAGGGCACAGCAAAAAAAAAAAAACAAUUUAAACCAAAUUUAAAGAUUAUGUGUGUUUCCUCUGCCUCUAUUUUUUUGUUUUGUUUUCUUAAU